GUGUUUUGAGGGGAAUGUUGUCUGGCUCGAGGACACCAACUAGAUCUAUGAUCUGCGUGUAAUUGUGAAUGGGUGAUCGUCUCUCAGUUUUGAAGGAGAGAUUUUGAGUGAUCUUUGAUCAUGGGUUGGUGUCGUCGGACCAGGCUUCAUUCCCCCCAAUUUAUUG
rnacentral:pre_miRNA from 1 species